GGGGGCGUAAAGGUUUCGACGGGGAUUGUGAAGCAGAAAAAGCGAGCAGAGGGCGGGCCCUCUAUAAUACCCGAACUUUUAAAUUUAAACGCAGACGAAAAUCUCGUUUACGCAGCCUAAUUAGGCUGCCGUCCUACCGCGAAGUACCGCGGUCGCGGAUAGGGCGUCGAUUAGCGGUCCAUUCUAAGGGGAAAGCUCUCCGCACCUUUAGAACAUUAGGGGAUACCGAAGCAGGCAGCCUGUUUGUCGGCGGUUUGUUGGGGGAAUCUUAAAAGAUAGACUGCGCUCGGAGAAGUUUCUGUGAAUCGGUUUUCGGACAGGGGUUCAAUUCCCCUCGCCUCCACCA
rnacentral:tmRNA from 1 species